GGCCGAAUAGUGUAGGUGGUUAUCACAUGGGAUUCUGAUUCCCGUGACCCGAGUUCGAAUCUCGGUUUGGCCU
rnacentral:tRNA from 1 species